UUACGGGAGGCAGCAGUGGGGAAUCUUCCACAAUGGGCGAAAGCCUGAUGGAGCAACGCCGCGUGCAGGAUGAAGGCCUUCGGGUCGUAAACUGCUUUUAUGAGUGAAGAAUAUGACGGUAACUCAUGAAUAAGCACCGGCUAACUACGUGCCAGCAGCCGCGGUCAUACGUAGGGUGCAAGCAUUAUCCGGAGUGACUGGGCGUAAAGAGUUGCGUAGGUGGUCAAGUUAGCGAAUAGUGAAAUCUGGUGGCUCAACCACAAGACUAUUGUUCGAACUGCUUGACUCGAGAGUAGCAGAGGUAACUGGAAUUUCUAGUGUAGGAGUGAAAUCCGUAGAUAUUAGAAGGAACACCAAUGGCGUAGGCAGGUUACUAGGCUAUUUCUGACACUAAGGCACGAAAGCGUGGGGAGCGAACGGGAUUAGAUACCCCCGUAGUCCC
rnacentral:rRNA from 1 species